rnacentral:rRNA from 1 species
UACGUAGGGUGCGAGCGUUGUCCGGAAUUAUUGGGCGUAAAGAGCUCGUAGGCGGUCUGUCGCGUCGGUCGUGAAAACUUGGGGCUUAACCCUGAGCUUGCGGUCGAUACGGGCAUGACUGGAGUUCGGCAGGGGAGACUGGAAUUCCUGGUGUAGCGGUGAAAUGCGCAGAUAUCAGGAGGAACACCGGUGGCGAAGGCGGGUCUCUGGGCCGAUACUGACGCUGAGGGACGAAAGCUAGGGGAGCGAAUGGG